rnacentral:tRNA from 1 species
ACUGGGGUGGCAGAGCAUGGUUAAUUGCGAAAGGCCUAAGCCCUUUUUACCAGAGGUUCAAAUCCUCUUCCCAGUU